rnacentral:rRNA from 1 species
GAUGAACGCUGGCGGCGUGCCUAAUACAUGCAAGUCGAGCGAACAGACGAGGAGCUUGCUCCUCUGACGUUAGCGGCGGACGGGUGAGUAACACGUGGAUCACCUACCUAUAAGACUGGGAUAACUUCGGGAAACCGGCGCUAAUACCGGAUAAUAUAUUGAACCGCAUGGUUCAAUAGUGAAAGACGGUUUUGCUGUCACUUAUAGCUGGAUCCGCGCCGCAUUAGCUAGUUGUUAAGGUAACGGCUUACCAAGGCAACGAUGCGUAGCCGAACUGAGAGAGUGAUCGCCCACACGGGAAGUGAGACGCGGUCCAGAGUACUACGGGAGGCAGCAGUAGGGAAUGGUCCGCAAUGGGCGAGAGCUUGGCGGAGCAACGCCGCGUGAGUGGUGAAGGUGUUGGGAGCGUAAAACUCUGUUAUGAGUGAAGAACAAAUGUGGAAUUAACUAUGCACGUCUUGACGGUACCUGAUCAGAAAGCCCCGGCUAACUACGUG